CUAUGCAGUACCUGCAUUAUAUAUAUAUAUAAUGCAGGUACUGAGGUA
rnacentral:miRNA from 1 species